GACGAACGCUGGCGGCGUGCCUAAUACAUGCAAGUUGAGCGCUGAUGGUUGGUACUUGUACCAACUGGAUGAGCAGCGAACGGGUGAGUAACGCGUGGGGAAUCUGCCUUUGAGCGGGGGACAACAUUUGGAAACGAAUGCUAAUACCGCAUAAAAACUUUAAACACAAGUUUUAAGUUUGAAAGAUGCAAUUGCAUCACUCAAAGAUGAUCCCGCGUUGUAUUAGCUAGUUGGUGAGGUAAAGGCUCACCAAGGCGAUGAUACAUAGCCGACCUGAGAGGGUGAUCGGCCACAUUGGGACUGAGACACGGCCCAAACGCCUACGGGAGGCAGCAGUAGGGAAUCUUCGGCAAUGGACGAAAGUCUGACCGAGCAACGCCGCGUGAGUGAAGAAGGUUUUCGGAUCGUAAAAAUCUGUUGGUAGAGAAGAACGUUGGUGAGAGUGGAAAGCUCAUCAAGUGACGGUAACUACCCAGAAAGGGACGGCUAACUACGUG
rnacentral:rRNA from 1 species